UACGAAGUUUUUGAAUCAGGAGGCAAGGUCGCCUUGUGCCCCCAAAAGGAUAGAAAAAGGCCUGGCAAACUGGAGAAUCGCGUCCUUACGGUAUCCUGUGUUUUCCAGUUGAAAGCUUGUGAAAAUUCGCUUUAUCCUUGAAGUUCAGAAUUUUCACCAGGAUGUAUGAAGGUCCUGUCCUCGAUGGAUCAGCUGGCACCACCCAGAUGGAUAAACUGGCUCAUCUGAUCUUGUGGCCCCCAUCCAGGAAGUGACUCAGUGUAAGAAGACAGCUUCAACUCCCUAUGAUUUCAUCUCUGACCAAUCAGCACUCUCGGCUCACUGGCUUCCUCCAACCCACCAAUUUGUUCUUUUUUUUUUUGAGACCAAGUCUCACCUGUCGCCCAGGCUGGAGUGCAGUGGCGUGAUCUCUGCUCACAGCAACCUCCGCCUCCUAGGUUCAAGCAAUUCUCCUGCCCCAGCCUCCCGAGUAGCUGGGAUUACAG
rnacentral:lncRNA from 1 species